ACAUGCCUACAUCAUAGCGUUAAUGCAUUGGAUCUCAUUAGAACUAUGCAGUUAAGCGUGCUCAAGAUAGAGUAGUACUGGGAUGGGUGACCGCAUGUUGGUGCAGGACAAUUUUGGGGAGAA
rfam:Picea glauca, whole genome shotgun sequence.